UCCGGUUUGUCACCGGCAGUCCCCCAUGAGUCCCCGGCAUUAUCCGCUGGCAACAUGGGGCAAGGGUUGCGCUCGUUGCGGGACUUAACCCAACAUCUCACGACACGAGCUGACGACAGCCAUGCAGCACCUGUACACGGACUCCGAAGAGAGGGUGUGUUUCCACACCUGUCCCGUGCAUGUCAAGCCCAGGUAAGGUUCUUCGCGUUGCGUCGAAUUAAACCACAUGCUCCGCUGCUUGUGCGGGCCCCCGUCAAUUCCUUUGAGUUUCAGCCUUGCGGCCGUACUCCCCAGGCGGGGCACUUAAUGCGUUAGCGCCGGCACCCAGGGGGUCGCUCCCCCAGGCACCUAGUGCCCAUCGUUUACGGCGUGGACUAC
rnacentral:misc_RNA from 1 species